GUUAUUAGACACUUGUCACUCUAUAAAUCCUUCUUACACUUCUUACAAUUAGAAGACUUUGUAGAAUAACUUGACCCAUCAUUUCACAACCUCAGGUCCCAAACCCUUAUCCCUUUCUAUUCUCUCACAUGGCUCACUCCCUCUUUAGAAAACGCCGACCACCACCCUUGGUGGUGGAGCCUUGGCGGAAGGGCGGCGUGAUGGUGGUCCCGGCUAGUGGGUGUGGUACGUCAGGGGCAAUGGGGUGCGGCUGGGGCGGAGCGGGGGGUUUUAGGGGUGAUGGUGACGGGGAGGAGGGGGUGUGCGAUGGAUUGGGAUUUGGCUCGGGCAGUCGUGUGCGGGUGUGUAGUGGUGGUAUGCGACAGUGGUUAAGUGAUGUUUGAGGGUGAGUUGAAGUCUGACAGGUGGUUCGAGUGGAGUUCGAGCCCUAGUUUGUUUUUCGGGUCACAAUUUUUUCGAGCCCUACUUUGUUUUCGGUUCACAAUUUUUAACAUAAUUGCAGAGGUUAGAGAAACAGUUGCUUUAGAUGCUCAAAAGGCAAUCAAGAAGAAGAAAAAGAUUAGAACGAGACAAAAGAAAUUGAAAACAUACAAUAUGCCUUCACUGUAGGUGAUCUGCUGUUAAGUACCGGAGUGGCGGGUCGCUGGCUCGCCGGAGAUGAGAGAGAGAGUAAGCUCAUAGAGAGGUAUUUAUUUUUGUUUUCAUAACUUUUUAAAUGUUAUAUUCUUUUAUUUAUUUAAAUACUAUAAACAAUUAAGUAAAAAGACUAAACUGCCCUUGUAUGAAUAGAUUUAAUUAAAAAUUUUAAUUUGGUUAGUGAUAAAGGAUGUAGUGUGUAAUGGUUUUUACAAAGGGGAAAUGGACUGUAUCACCCCCAACUAAACAAAAUUGGCCGUUGCCACGCCCAACUUUCACUUUGGCUCCCACCACCCCCAAUUGGAAACUUGGGUUGCUGUGUCACCCCGUCGUUAACCAGACACUAACGAGGUUAGUUUUUUUUGCUGAUCUGGCCAAUUUUUGCUGACAUGGCAUGGGUAUGUGUAAAAAAAUUAGUUUUAAAAAUCAAGAAAACAAUAUUACUUACACACACAAUACACACAUCUACACAUCUGUUCCAAACCCCUUUUUCCCUUUCUCUCUCUAACGCUACCACCACCAUCACCUCCACCAACCACCACCAUUAUCACCUGCCACCACCGCCACAAAACACCACCUACCAUCAUCACUCUGUCGUCUCUUCACCACGCACAACCCUCCAUUUCAAGAUAGCGUUGCAAAUAAAUCCGCUUCUAAAACUGAGUUGUUUUUUGCCAUCAUCAUCUGAAACAGAGAGAUGGAGUACCGGCUACGGAGAUUCUGAAAUAGAAUUGAAAGGAGGCAACGAUGGCUGGGUCCAAAUAUUCGGUGAGAUUGUGCUUCAAUCUUGGCUAGUGACGGUGAUGUUCUCUCUCCCAUCUCUCUCUUUAGGGUUCGUCGUUCAGAUCUGAAAGGAGGCGGCGAGGUUGUUGCAGCGGCUCGAGGUUGGAGGUUGGAGGUUGUUGCAGCGGCUCGAGGUGGGAGUGCUCGCCGGAGGUUGUUGCAGAGCAAAAUCAAUUGGAGAUUUGAAUUGAUUGAAAUCUGAGUAUUUUGUUCAUAACUCAUCACACUUAUCGAUUUGAAUUGAAUUACAAAUUAUUUGAGCAUCAUGUUUGAGUUCAGAUCUGAACUGAUUCUUGUUUGAUUGAGAGAACAGAUGACGAAAAAAAUCAGAUCUGAACUAGAGUUGUAGAAAAUCGAGUGUCGUUUGUUUUGAUAAUCUGUUUUGGUUUAGCAAUCAAAUAAAAAGAUUUUGAAGUGUUGAUUAUCAUAAACAGAACAUCCAUAUGUGUAUCAGUUGAAAAAGAAGUAAAUUUACAGGUUGUGAAUUGAUAAAGACAAAGCGAAGGAAUAUGUGUUUGUGUUGAAUUAGGUUUUUAUAUUAUGUUUACAGAGAUGUUAAAUGGCGAGUCCAUGUAGGCGUCCACGUAGGCUGUCCACCUCAUCAUCCCCAUGACACGUAGGAUUAAAAACCUAACUGAGUUAGUGAUUUUUUAACGAAGGGGUGACAGUCACACCAAGUUGUCGAGUAGAGGGUGGUGGGAGCCAACUUGAAAAUUGAGCGUGUUAUUGGCCAAUUUUGCAUAGUUUAGGGUGAUACAGUCCAUUUCCUCUUUUACAAAUAAAGGAUUGUAAAUUUAAUUAUUAAAGUUAAAAGUUAUCUUGAAAUUUCAUAAAAAAAAUAAAGUACAAAAAUUACCCGCAAAUUUACCUAUGGUUUUCCUUCUACCUAUGCAUGUGAAGAUACCACGUGCCUACGUAAACAAAUUUACCUAGCCUUGUAUCAUGGAAUUUCUAUAUCCCUUUUACUUUUUGUCCAAAGAUUAUUCCCUUUCAAUCCGUUUACCCUUUCAUGGGAGUUGAAACCUGUAAAUCUGCAAUUCUAAUAUAAAAUAAUUAAGUAUCAGCUAAUGUGGAGCUACCCCACUUGGUAGAGGCAUAUACUUCUUGGAAGACAGGUGUCAGGUUUAAUCUUGGACAAGAUGAAUUAUUUAGAUAGUGUAAUAGAGUAAAAGCAAGCGUUGACAUUCAAAAAAAUAGUACCAAUCUUAAUGGUUUUAUUUGUAAAUAUGUCAUAAAUGUAAGUAUAUCUUAAUUCAAAACAUGUAUAAUUUCGUGUACAUAUUGUGUUAUAACUUUUCAAAUGAAAGUUUGAUUUCUUUGACAA